CAGAUGUAGGCGGGGCGCGGGUGUACCCCUGCAGCCCGGGUUGGGUGUAAUUUAUGUCUUUAAUUAAAAAGCAGAAAAUAAUUCUUUAAAAGCAUCUAUUUUAAUUGCUUUUGGAAAACAAUUAGUGAUGAGAGUUAAGCUUACACUUUGGAAUGACUCAGAGGCUCCAGGGCCAGGAGCCUGUGUAACAACCUCCAGGAAACACUGGACCCUCAGUGAUUAGUGAGCACCUAAUGAGGACUCAGAAUUUAUGCUGUGGAGAGUGGUCAGCAUUGCAGAAGCACUGAAGUACCUUCUUGCAUAGAACACCCAUUGUGCACAUCUGCAGUUACUUCCUCCACUGAAGUCUUGAACUCUUCAAAGUCAUCCAUGAGAGUUGGAAUCAACUUCUUUCAAACUCUUGUUAAUGUUGAUAUUUUAACACCCUGCUCUCAUAAAUCAUAAAUAGUCUUAAUGGAAUCUGGAAUGGAGAAUCCUUUCCUGAGGUUUUCAAUUUGUUUUGACCAGAUUCAUCAGAGAAAUCACUCUCUAGGGCAAAUUCAGCCAUUCUGAGUGAAUUUUAAAAAACAAACAAAAGAAGAGUCAAAAGUCAAAAUGAUUCCUUGUUCCCUAGACUGAAGAAUGGAUGUUGUGUUAGCAGGCAUGAAGACAUUAAUCUUAUUUUCAUCUUUAUCAGUACUCUUAGAGGAUCAGUUGUUUUGUCAAAGAGCAGUAAUAUUUUGAAAGGAAUCUUUUUUUCUGAGCAGUAAAUCUCAGUAGCAAACAAACCCUGUUGUUAGUAGAUAUUCUGUCAUCUGGACAUUUUUGUUCCAUUUAAAGAAAAGGUAGAAUAUUCAAACAAACCCUAGAAUAUUUGGAGGGACAAAUAUGCUUUCAGCUUCAACUUAAAGUCACUAGCUAUAUUAGUCCCUAACAAGAUAGUAAUUUGUUUUUAAAA